CUUGCUCCCGGAUGUUAGCGGCGGACGGGUGAGUAACACGUGGGUAACCUGCCUGUAAGACUGGGAUAACUCCGGGAAACCGGAGCUAAUACCGGAUAGUUCCUUGAACCGCAUGGUUCAAGGAUGAAAGACGGUUUCGGCUGUCACUUACAGAUGGACCCGCGGCGCAUUAGCUAGUUGGUGGGGUAAUGGCUCACCAAGGCGACGAUGCGUAGCCGACCUGAGAGGGUGAUCGGCCACACUGGGACUGAGACACGGCCCAGACUCCUACGGGAGGCAGCAGUAGGGAAUCUUCCGCAAUGGACGAAAGUCUGACGGAGCAACGCCGCGUGAGUGAUGAAGGUUUUCGGAUCGUAAAGCUCUGUUGUUAGGGAAGAACAAGUGCGAGAGUAACUGCUCGCACCUUGACGGUACCUAACCAGAAAGCCACGGCUAACUACGUGCCAGCAGCCGCGGUAAUACGUAGGUGGCAAGCGUUGUCCGGAAUUAUUGGGCGUAAAGGGCUCGCAGGCGGUUUCUUAAGUCUGAUGUGAAAGCCCCCGGCUCAACCGGGGAGGGUCAUUGGAAACUGGGAAACUUGAGUGCAGAAGAGGAGAGUGGAAUUCCACGUGUAGCGGUGAAAUGCGUAGAGAUGUGGAGGAACACCAGUGGCGAAGGCGACUCUCUGGUCUGUAACUGACGCUGAGGAGCGAAAGCGUGGGGAGCGAACAGGAUUAGAUACCC
rnacentral:rRNA from 1 species